GGCCGCGGGAAUUCGAUUCAGGCCUAACACAUGCAAGUCGAACGGCACCCACCUCCGGGUGGAAGCGAGUGGCGAACGGCUGAGUAACACGUGGAGAACCUGCCCCCUCCCCCGGGAUAGCCGCCCGAAAGGACGAGUAAUACCGGAUUCCCCGGGGUGCCGCAUGGCGCCCCGGCUAAAGCCCCGACGGGAGGGGAUGGCUCCGCGGCCCAUCAGGUAGACGGCGGGGUGACGGCCCACCGUGCCGACAACGGGUAGCCGGGUUGAGAGACCGACCGGCCAGAUUGGGACUGAGACACGGCCCAGACUCCUACGGGAGGCAGCAGUGGGGAAUCUUGCGCAAGGGGGGGAACCCUGACGCAGCGACGCCGCGUGCGGGAAAGAGGCCUUCGGGUCGUAAACCGCUUUCAGCAGGGAAGAGUCAAGACUGCA
rnacentral:rRNA from 1 species